CUCGUAGGCGGUUCGUCGCGUCCGGUGUGAAAGUCCAUCGCUUAACGGUGGAUCCGCGCCGGGUACGGGCGGGCUUGAGUGCGGUAGGGGAGACUGGAAUUCCCGGUGUAACGGUGGAAUGUGUAGAUAUCGGGAAGAACACCAAUGGCGAAGGCAGGUCUCUGGGCCGUCACUGACGCUGAAGUGCGAAAGCUAGGGGAGCAAACA
rnacentral:rRNA from 1 species